AACAGAUUAAUUAUAGGUACAUGUAAGUUGUUGUAGAUGAAAUCAUUUUUGGAAAUGUUGAUCCACUGAAGCAUCCAAGCAAGUGGAAUUUGGGAAAGCUCUUGAAGGAGUUCAAUGGAAUUUCAGGGAAGAUAUUGAAUGACUCAUUUGUGGCGAUUACAGAGGUAGCUUUACGGGAAUCCCUCACACAGCUUCAUGAGUUAAGUUCUGUAAGUAUUAACGAUUUUCACCUUCCAAACUUGCCCUCACCUCCAAAUGCCUUCAGAGGAAUACGUAGGAAGAGCUCCUCAUUGAAACGUUGGCUUGCCGUAUGCUCAGAUGAUUCAGCUAAAGAUGGAAAGUACCGACCAACUGUUAAUCUUCUCCGCAAGUACCUUGGAGAUUUUAUAAUUGCUUCAUAUUUGGAUGUUGUACAAGAAUCUGAGUAUGAUGAUACAUAUAUGAAGG